rnacentral:rRNA from 1 species
UCUACGGGGGGCAGCAGUAGGGAAUUUUCGUCAAUGGGCGCAAGCCUGAACGAGCGAUGCCGCGUGAGUGAAGAAGGCCUUCGGGUCGUAAAGCUCUGUUGCGGGGGAAAAAAGGCAGCAUCAGGAAAUGGGUGCUGACUGAUGGUGCCCCGCCAGAAAGUCACGGCUAACUACGUGCCAGCAGCCGCGGUAAUACGUAGGUGGCGAGCGUUAUCCGGAAUGAUUGGGCGUAAAGGGUGCGCAGGCGGUCCUGCAAGUCUGGAGUGAAACGCAUGAGCUCAACUCAUGCAGGGCUUUGGAGACUGGAGGACUGGAGAGCAGGAGAGGGCGGUGGAACUCCAUGUGUAGCGGUAAAAUGCGUAGAUAUUAGGAGGAACACCAGUGGCGAAGGCGGUCUGCUGGACAGCAACUGACGCUGAGGCGCGAAAGCGUGGGGAGCAAACAGGAUUAGAUACCCGAGUAGUC